AGAUUGAACGCUGGCGGAAUGCUUUACACAUGCAAGUCGAACGGCAGCACGGGGGCAACCCUGGUGGCGAGUGGCGCACGGGUGAGUAAUACAUCGGAACGUAUCCUAGAGUGGGGGAUAGCCCGGCGAAAGCCGGAUUAAUACCGCAUACGCUCGAAAGAGGAAAGUGGGGGAUCGUAAGACCUCACGCCCAAGGAGCGGCCGAUGCCGGAUUAGCUUGUUGGUGAGGUAAAAGCUCACCAAGGCGACGAUCCGUAGCUGGUCUGAGAGGACGACCAGCCACACUGGGACUGAGACACGGCCCAGACUCCGUACGGGAGCAGCAGGUGGGGAAUUUGGAACUAAGUCGGGGGAAACCCUGGACUCCGAGCCAGUCCGCGUGAGUAGAAGGAGGUCCGUUACGGGUGUAAGUC
rnacentral:rRNA from 1 species